GUGGAGCAUGUGGUUUAAUUCGAAGCAACGCGAAGAACCUUACCAAAUCUUGACAUCCUUUGACAACUCUAGAGAUAGAGCCUUCCCCUUCGGGGGACAAAGUGACAGGUGGUGCAUGGUUGUCGUCAGCUCGUGUCGUGAGAUGUUGGGUUAAGUCCCGCAACGAGCGCAACCCUUAAGCUUAGUUGCCAUCAUUAAGUUGGGCACUCUAAGUUGACUGCCGGUGACAAACCGGAGGAAGGUGGGGAUGACGUCAAAUCAUCAUGCCCCUUAUGAUUUGGGCUACACACGUGCUACAAUGGACAAUACAAAGGGCAGCGAAACCGCGAGGUCAAGCAAAUCCCAUAAAGUUGUUCUCAGUUCGGAUUGUAGUCUGAAACUCGACUACAUGAAGCUGGAAUCGCUAGUAAUCGUAGAUCAGCAUGCUACGGUGAAUACGUUCCCGGGUCUUGUACACACCGCCCGUCACACCACGAGAGUUUGUAACACCCGAAGCCGGUGGAGUAACCUUUUAGGAGCUAGCCGUCGAAGGUGGGACAAAUGAUUGGGGUGAAGUCGUAACAAGGUAGCCGUAUCGGAAGGUGCGGCUGGAUCACCUCCUUUCUAAGGA
rnacentral:rRNA from 1 species